CUGAUGGAGCAACGCCGCGUGAGCGAAGAAGGUUUUCGGAUCGUAAAGCUCUGUUGUGAGGGAAGAACAAGUACGGGAGUAACUGCCCGUACCUUGACGGUACCUCAUCAGAAAGCCACGGCUAACUACGUGCCAGCAGCCGCGGUAAUACGUAGGUGGCAAGCGUUGUCCGGAAUUAUUGGGCGUAAAGCGCGCGCAGGCGGUCCCUUAAGUCUGAUGUGAAAGCCCACGGCUCAACCGUGGAGGGUCAUUGGAAACUGGGGGACUUGAGUACAGAAGAGGAAAGCGGAAUUCCACGUGUAGCGGUGAAAUGCGUANAGAUGUGGAGGAACACCAGUGGCGAAGGCGGCUUUCUGGUCUGUAACUGACGCUGAGGCGCGAAAGCGUGGGGAGCAAACAGGAUUAGAUACCCUGGUAGUCCACGCCGUAAACGAUGAGUGCUAANUGUUAGGGGGUUUCCGCCCCUUAGUGCUGCAGCUAACGCAUUAAGCACUCCGCCUGGGGGAGUACGGCCGCAAGGCUGAAACUCAAAGG
rnacentral:rRNA from 1 species